UGAGUAACCUGCCCUUAACUCUGGGAUAAGCCUGGGAAACUGGGUCUAAUACCGGAUAUGACUCCUCAUCGCAUGGUGGGGGGUGGAAAGCUUUAUUGUGGUCUUGGAUGGACUCGCGGCCUAUCAGCUUGUUGGUGAGGUAAUGGCUCACCAAGGCGACGACGGGUAGCCGGCCUGAGAGGGUGACCGGCCACACUGGCACUGAAACNCGGGCCAGACUCACGGGNGCAG
rnacentral:rRNA from 1 species